CCGGUGUUAGCUGUCAAACUGAAAUCUCAAAAUCGACUUCCGACGUUUCAUAUUUUUCAUUUUCAAGUAUUCUUUCAUGUCGCAAUGAGAUCAAUUCGUGUUUUGACUUAACAUACGCUUUUAUUAUAGUGAUAUGUAUUUAUUCUAAUAGAAUACAUGAUUGCUACACGAAUAUAUACACUGAUAAUAACAAUUUCCCUCUGAGUUUUGCAUGUUCUCUCCAUGCUAUGUUAUUUAUUUGGUGUUGUUUGAACGCUUCAAAAGGCUGGAAAAGGGCCUUCAAUGCGAAGCUGUGGUUUUUCAGGAGGUAUUUUCUCACACAGGUGAUGAAGAAUGUUGCUGACAAAGACUUUUUUGUUUGACUGAGGAAUCACAUGUGAGACUUCUAAAAAGCUGGGACACCUUUAAAGACACAGUCACACACACGCCCCACGCACUCUUAUCUGUGGUUACAUUGCGGAUCAAUAAGCAGCAGGAUAAUGGAGGACCAACAGCAGCGGCCAGAAGCCGACGGGGAAAUGUCGUUUGACCAAAAGGUUUAUGAGGAAUGCACGACACGGACCUGGGGAUCCUCCAGGUUCCAGCAAGAUCCCCAGAACCGACGGCUUCUCCUCCUCAGUUUGGGCCUGUUGAACGUUGCCCUGCUUCUAGCUGCUGUUGUCAUCGGCGUUUUCUGUGCCAAGGCCGACAGGACGAACCAGCUCAUAACUGACUCGGCCGUCACUCCCCUCGUCAUCGAACUCAACUUUCUCCGCAACCAGAGCGCCAUCGUCCAAGAGAGACUGGGAGCCGAGGUCGCCAUCGCGGCGGAGGAGAAGCUCCUCAUGGAACUCUCACUGCAGCUGAAGCAGCUGAACAUCCAAGGCGACGCUCUGCAGAAGCAGAUCGAGGAGUUUCACAACAAGAAGGCAAAUCUGCUGGCUCAGCAAAAAAAUUUAGAGGAGAGCUGCAGCCGGUGCCAGCUCGGAUGGACCUACCUGAACUCCAACUGCUAUUACCUUUCUGUCUCCUCCGACAACCAGCCCAAGAACUGGCCAGACAGCCGGGCAGACUGCGUCAGUCGAGGAGGAAGCCUGCUUGUGGUCGAUAACUUGGCGGAGCAGCAACUUAUAAGCAACAACAUGCCAAAAUUCAUACCUGGUAUUUCCUGGAGGGACCGCGGCUCAUGGAUCGGCCUCACAGACCAAGUGACAGAAGGGACAUGGGUCUGGGUCAACAAUGUCACGGAGGCGGAGACGAUCUACUGGAGAAGCGGCGAGCCGGUGAAACACAGCACACACGGUGGAAACUGUGUGGCUCUUUUUUACUUCGCCGACACCACCAAAACAUGGUACACCGCCGACUGCCAGCAGCAGCUGCUCCACUGGAUCUGCGAGAUGGAGCCGCGUCAACCCUGAAGACUUAAAGAAUAAAAACCUUCUGAGCCACACUGUUGUUCCUCAUCGCCAGAGAUUCAAUGUUGACCUGAAAAUCUCUUCGCCGGUUGUUAAUAUUUAACUCGCUGUUUGGUUUUUGUGUUUGUGAUGUUGCGUAAAGUCCGAGCGAAUGCGCUUAGACUCAUCCGACAGUGUUGGUUAAAAAUGGAGGCCAAGGAAGUCGGGCGUCUGGACACCUCGUAUGACAAGCUGGUGUGCAAUGAGGCGGCCGACGAGGACUGUCCCGGUGUCAACCAGGGGAAACAGAAAGAAAGUGCUGGUCAUUGCCCUGGCAGUGUUGGCCAGCGUUCUGCUGGCUGUAGAUAUCGGCCUGGGGGUCUAUUACGCUCAACUCAGCAACGCGCCACGGACGGUGCAGGACAUCAAGAACGAGAUUGGCAAAAUGAAGAGCUCCU